rnacentral:lncRNA from 1 species
AGGGUACCACAAAUUUUAGUUACUGGGUACUGAUGGGGAAUGUACUGUGUAUGUUUAUCUUAUUGAUUGUUAAAUAAAAUACUGUUUGGCCAAUGAAAUGGCAAGUUAGGCAGGACUAGGAGUCAAAGAGGAUUCUGGGAAAUGUAGUAGAGAAGUGAUGAUCCAGACAGGAAGUGACAUAGCAAGGAGACUCAUAUUUAAGUGAAGGAGAAACAGGAAGGGUCCCUUUUUCCCCUCUGCUCCUGUUCCAGCGGCACAAUGUGAUCCACCAGCAAGGAGGGACACCAAUAAGGCAUCCGAGAAGAACUCGAAGUGAGAUGCCCCCAAAGAUGCUGAGAGUCCAGCAUCCCUGAAAAUGAUGGCAUGGAGCAGAGUUAUUCUUGGAGUAUAAAGCAGAAGAGGGGGAGAGCGAGAAAUAACAAAGAACACCCCGAAGAACACACAUCUCCACUGCAGAAGCCUUCAUCCAGCAACUGAUGGAAGUAGAAGCAGACAGCUAAACCCUGAACUGAACUGGAAUCCAGUUGCAGAGAGGGAGGAGUGAUGAACAAAGAGGUCAAAACCAGGCUGGUGAAACCCACAGAAACAACUGUUCAGCUUCCCUCACUUACCUCUUCCCUAAAAGGUUCCCCAACGUGUCAUCUGGUUUAUACAUCAGCUCCGGCAAGAGUAUCAGCAUCUCGGCAACUAAAUCAGAUACAAUGGGAGUGAUGCUCCAGGGUCCCAGUCUCGAGUCCAGCUUCUCCAAAAGACUUGUCAAUUGAAGAGAGUGUCUUCACUCUUUGUAUCCAACAGAGACACAUGGGAGAGCAACACUGUGCUCGCUGACAUUUCUGGACAAACUCAUCCAGUGGACCUGCGUUUGAUUCCCAGCACCUAUAUGGCAGUUCACUGCUAUCUGUAACUCCAGAGGGGACCCAAUUCCAUCUUCUGGCCUCUCUGUGCAAUAAAUGCUUGUGGUGAAAAGGCA